AACGAACGCUGGCGGCAUGCCUAACACAUGCAAGUCGAACGAGACCUUCGGGUCUAGUGGCGCACGGGUGCGUAACGCGUGGGAACCUGCCCUUAGGGUCGGAAUAACUCCCCGAAAGGGGUGCUAAUACCGGAUAAUGUCUUCGGACCAAAGAUUUAUCGCCUUUGGAUGGGCCCGCGUUGGAUUAGCUAGUUGGUAGGGUAAAAGCCUACCAAGGCGACGAUCCAUAGCUGGGCUGAGAGGAUGAUCAGCCACACUGGGACUGAGACACGGCCCAGACUCCUACGGGAGGAAGCAGUGGGGAAUAUUGGACAAUGGGCGAGAGCCUGAUCCAGCAAUGCCGCGUGAGUGAUGAAGGCGUUAGGGUUGUAAAGCUCUUUUACCCGGGAUGAUAAUGACAGUACCGGGAGAAUAAGCGCCGGCUAACUCCGUG
rnacentral:rRNA from 1 species